AGUUCUAGCUCAGUUGGUCAGAGCACAGUGCUAAGAAUGCCAAAGUCUUGGGUUCAGUCCCCAGAUGGACUA